rnacentral:lncRNA from 1 species
UAAAUAGAAAAACAGCAUGCUAUAUAGAAGGCACCCCUGAAACGGUGAAAGUGUGGCCUAACAAAAAGCCAGCAAUGAUGACGUGGACUAAAAACUUUUCUGAACUAAGAUCAUUUUGAAGUGGUUGUUUAAUUUUAUCAACAAAUCUUUUAAUUUAUUUAACUUCAAUUAGAUAAUAAUGCUUUAACUUCAAAUUUGAAUACGUCCUCUAUCUUUACAAAUUUAGUUAGUAUACUUCAUACGAUUCUCGUAACUAUAAAUUUAUUAAAUAACUAGCUUAAAUUUUAAAGUCAAAGUAUUAUAUUAAAUAAAUUGAAAGGUUAAACAGUAAAAUUAAAAUUUUGAAAAAUUAAAUAGUCGAUUCAAAAUAAUCCACAGUUCCCAUAAAUUUCUAUACAUCUUAACUUAUGUUCUUCACCAACCCACUCCAUAUAUACUUUUUUUGGGGGGAUAAUAUCUAAUAUACCCCUCAAAACUUCUGAAAUAUGUUAUAUACCUUUCUUUUUUUUUGUUUCAAAUAUACCUCUUAUAUAUUUCUCUAUUAUUCAAAAAUAACCUUGCUGUUGAUACCCGUUAAGUUAUCUCGGGUUAAACCUGAGUUAAAUUUCUAUCAGAGUUAAAAAGUGAGCAAUUGCUUGUAUACCCCCUACAAGGUUUCCGGCUUUCUUAUUACCUCUCUUAGAAGACUAAUAUUAAAAAUAUUCUUUUAUCAUUCUGAGUCCUUUCAAAUAUAACCCCUAGAGUUAGAUUAUGUUAGUGAAUUAUUAGAAAUAACCGUUAUCUCUCUAAAAUUACUAUUUUACUCUUUCAAAUAUCAUUUACUUUUUUUUAUUUACCACUAAGUUAGAGGCACAAAGAGGUAUUUUGACUUCUUCCCUUCAAAUAUAUUCUUCUAUCAUCACCAACUUUUCUUAUUUGCACUUAAGUCAGGGGCAAAAGAAGUAUUUUGAUUAUUUUUAUUUUAACUCUGGUAGAAAUUUAACCCGGGUAUAAUUUGAGAUGACUUAACGAAUAUUAACAGUAGUGAUAUUUUUAAAUAACGGAGAACUAUAUGAGGGAUAUAUUUAAACCAAAAAAUAGAAGUAUAUUAGAUGUUUCAAAAGUUAUGAGGGGUAUAUAGGUAAUUAUUCCUAAAAAAAAGUGAAAAUACCUCUUUUACUUCUAACUAAUAAGUAAAUGAGAAAAAUUGGUGACGGUAGAAGGGAUAUUUGAAACGGCAAAAAGUCAAAAUACUUUUGUGACACCCGAAUAGUCUCAUAUUGAAUAAAAAUGGAAUUGUCAUUGGGUAUAUAAAAGGACUCCACCCUAAUAAUAAUAACUGGGCUUAAACAUUUUGGAUCAAUAAUUUUCACCCAACGAGUUAUUGUUGUUAGUGGGUCAGGUCGUUAUAUUUGGUAUCAAAGCCAGUUCACAAGUCGGAAGUGUGAAAUGAGUCUUAGCUGGGCCAAGGUCGGAAUGACAAGCUAAGCCAAGGUCGGUGAAUGACAAGCUAAGUCAGGAUCGGAAUGACAAGACUAGUGAAACGAGUCUCACAUCGCCUGGUGAUCUUGGAUUGUGUGUGUGUUUAGAACUGACGAGAACGUUAGGGCCUAAACGAUGAAAAUGAAAUUAUCAUUGUUAUGUUUGCCGCGAACAAACCGGCCCCGCCACAGGUGUUUCUAGGGCGAGUGGUCAUUCAUGGUACAGAUUAAAUUGUUUAAAUUUUAUUUUAAAAUCAGGAUUAUAGGUUUAUGACUUCCAACAGACUCAAGAAUCUGCUGUUAAUUACCCCACACUUUCAGUAUUAAGGAACCCUCGAUUAAGAGACCGAAUAUAAAUGCUGAUAAAAGAGACCAAGCAGGCAAAUAAAAUUUUAUUAAUAUGAUUUGCCGUGUACAUGGCUUACGCAGGGGCAUUCCCCCACUGUACAUAGAUUUUAUAAAAUUAAAUACACAGUUUAUAGACUUAAUGGUCGAUUAAAGUUGAGAUGCCCAGUUUAGCGACAUGACGGUCGAUUUUGAGUUAAGUUGCUCAGUUUAAUGACAUGGCGGGCGGUUGAAGUUGAGGUGCUCAGUUUAGCGACAUGGCGGUCGAUUUUAAAUUGAGUUGCUCAGUUUAGCGACAUCGCGGUCAAUUUUAAAUUGGAUUGCUCUGUUUAGCGACAUCGCGGUCGAUUUGAGUUUUGGUGCUCAGUUUAAUGACAUGGCGGUCGGUUUGAGUUUUGGUGCUCAGUUUANCGAUUUGAGUUUUGGUGCUCAGUUUAAUGACAUGGCGGUCGGUUUGAGUUUUGGUGCUCAGUUUAGCGACAUGGCGGUCAAUUUGAGUUUGGUGCUCAGUUUAAUGACAUGGCGGUCGGAUGUUCAAUUUAAUGACUUAACAGUCAUUUGUUCAGUUUAACGACUUGACGGUCAUAUUUGAACAUGAUUUGCUCAGUUUAGUCGCUUGGUGGUCGAUUGAAGUUGAAAUGCUCACUUUAGCGACAUGGCGGUCGAUUUUGAAUUGAGUUGCUCAGUUUAGCGACGUGGCGGUCGAAAGGGUUUGAUUUGAUUGCUCAGUUUAACAACUUGGCGGUCAAAGGGGUUUGAUUUGAUUGCUCAGUUUAACGACUUGGCGGUCAAAGGUUCAGUUUAAAUGACUUAAUAGUCAUUUGUUCAGUUUAACGACUUGACGGUCAUAUUUGAACUUGAUUCGCUCAGUUUAGCGACUUGGCGAUCGACUAAAAUUGAGAUGCUCAGUUUAACGACAUGGCGGUCGAUUUUAAAUUGAGUUGCUUAGUUUAGCGACAUGGCGGUCGACUGAAAUUGAGAUACUCAUGAAACUGAUUCACGAAAUUAACUCAUGCUAGAAGCCCAUUUGUAAAGUCCAUUAAAUUAAUUGAUGAAAUUAAUUCAUGAUAGGGGCCAUUUGGAGAGCCCAUUGAAUUGGGUUUAUAAAAUUAAUUUGUGAUAAGGAGCCAUUUGGAAAGCCCAUUAGUUCAUAAAAUUAAUUUAUAACAAGGAGGGCCCAUGAAAUUAAUUCAUAAGAUUAAUUCGUGAUAGGAGGGCCUAUUUGGAAAGCCCAUAAAAUUAAUUUAUGAUUAGAAGCCAUUUGGAAGGCCCAUGAAAUUGAUUUAUGACAAGGAAGGCCCAUAAAAUUAAUUCAUAGAAUUAAUUCGUGAUAGGAGACCCAUUUGGAAAGUCCAAGAAAUUAAUUCAUAAAAUUAAUUCAUAAUAAGGGAUCCAUUUGGAAAGCCCAUGAAUUCGGUUUGGAUUGGAGGUAUUUGAAUGACAUGAGUUUGGUAAAUUUGGUUAGGUUUUAUUUGUGGACUUUGGAUUUUGAAUCAUAUUUGUGGAUUUUGGGUUUUGAGAUUUUGUUUGUUGAUUUUGGGUUUUGGAUCUUUAUUUGUGGACUUUGAAUUUUUGGGAUUUUGUUUGUGGAUUUUGAGCUUUGGGUUGAGAAGUUUAUUUACAUGGAUUUUCAUUUGUU